AUGGAUCGUCUGUGGGAGGCUCCGACAAAGAUAACUCCAUUGUCCAAGAAGAAGAAAGUAGAGUUGCAAUAUAUGGAUAACUUCACCGAUGAGUUGUGUGGGCAAGAUUGUAAAAUGUCUAGGCUACCAAAGCAAGCAUGCUGGCAUGACAAAAUAUCAGGACAAGGAUCGUCGUCUGCAGCAAUAUCUAUCAAGCAUGUACUUCAAACUCCUUUGCGGGAAUAUAAAGCAGCAAGAGUAAACAAUGACGAUCACAAGGAGUCCAUCGUGGAUCUCUACCGCGGUGUGGACACGCUAUACUACUUUAUGAGAGGUUGUGAUGAGAAGCUCGAGAAUCUUCACAAGAAAGUUAUGGUGCUUUGUCAAGCUGUCAAGAAGGAAGUAUAG
rnacentral:rRNA from 1 species